CCUACGGGAGGCUGCAGUGGGGGAUAUUGCACAAUGGGGGGAACCCUGAUGCAGCGACGCCGCGUGGGUGAAGGAGCGUUUCGGCGCGUAAAGCCCUAUCGGCAGGGAAGAAGAUGACGGUACCUGACCAAGAAGCCCCGGCUAACUACGUGCCAGCAGCCGCGGUAAUACGUAGGGGGCAAGCGUUAUCCGGAUUUACUGGGUGUAAAGGGGGCGCAGACGGCAAUGCAAGCCAGGAGGGAAAGCCCGGGGCCCAACCCCGGGACUGCUCUUGGAACUGCAUGGCUGGAGUACAGGAGGGGCAGGCGGAAUUCCCAGUGGAGGGGUGAAAUGCGUAGAUAUUAGGAGGGACACCGGGGGCGAAGGCGGCCUUGUGGACUGGGAAUGAAGUUGAGGCCCGAAGGGGUGGGGAGCAAACAGGAUUAGAUACCCUGGUAGUC
rnacentral:rRNA from 1 species